UGGGAAAUGUCAAAACUACUACACCCUAUUCAGACCAUUCUUUAGAAGAUCGGAUUUAGCUAUUUCCUGAUCAAUAACAAUAGAGAUACUUGGAAUAACAGAAUCAGGUCUUGGAAACUACAAUCUCCAUCCUACUCAGUUUAACAAGGUAGGAAGGGCUGCAACAAACUCAAGAUUUAAUUAUUUGAGAAUGGCCUUCAACAGACAUGUGCAAAAAAAGGACAGACCUCUGGGCAGUCCUAGUUCAAGCUAGAGCCACCAUUGGCACAUGUGAGAUGCAGGAAGUGAGGUAGAGAACAGCCUCUGGAGUUCUCGGGACUUCCUGUGAGGAGGGCUAGAGUCAGUUGGAGGCUGGUGCUUGGAGUUGGAGGAGCCCCACCGACUGCUUUCCUUCAGAUUGGUCAUCAAAGACACUGGAAUAGUAAGCAAAAGUGAGAUGACUUGCCCAGGGUCACACAGCAAGUAAGUGCAUAAGAGUCAGAUUUACCAAACAACAUGGCCUCUCAGAAGACCCCAUCCUUGCUGGAUCUAACCAACAAAUUCCAGAUGUUGAAGAAAACUUGUGCUCACAAUGGGAAUAUGAGAAUGUGGGGUGAAGAAUUCUUAGACCACAAAUUUGCAAUCCUGAAGCCUGUCCCUGUCACCAUCAUCUUGGCUAAUAACACCUAAAGAGGCAUGUUCACAAACAGCAGCCUCCACUGAUCAACUUCUGUCUAUGCUGAGAAAAGCUCCAAAGACCUGAGAAUAUUAUUUCUGCCUCUAGUGCUCCAAGUCACCACCAGCCAAACACCAAGUAACUCUUAUCAAGAUCAGACCUGACAAUUGUGACUGCAGAUGGUGCAACUCCUUCAGCAGUCAUUGCUACUAGGGACUCAGGAAAGAAAGUUCUGGUUACCAAACUUAUUGGUAUUUUCAAGUGAUUUGACUUUACAAAGAGAUAUGGUUUUAUAAAAAAGAAAUGAGUUAAAAUGAGAUAGCCACAUUACUCCUUGUUUUGUUACCACACCCUAAAGACUAAUGGACCUUUUCAAUAUGAUUUAUAGCUGAAACUUCCA
rnacentral:lncRNA from 1 species